UUUAAGUAAGAAAUUCAAAAGGCUGCCUCACUUGUUUACAGUUAACCUUUUCUUUGCACAGAUUCUGACUUGCAUUGGGAUGAUCUUGUGGAACUUUGUAGUGAAGGAAAGUAACUUCAUUGGUCAGGUCCUGACUUUCACCUUAUUAUGUACCUCACUCUACAGCACUUUUAUAUGGCCAGGUUUGAUAGCACUCUCACUUGUGCUCUUGAAGUCUGAGGAUCUGAAAGUUUCACCGGGCAUGUUGGUCAUUGCGGGCUGGGGGUAAGAGG